CCCUCCAUUUCCUAUAUUUACUCUUCCAGCAGACAGGGACAUGGAAAAAUCCGUGACCUAGCACUGACCCAGCAGAUAAGACUAACCACCAUAAGUACAGUUUUUGAAAGAAAAUGAAGUAGUUAAGGCUAAAGCUUUAACAUGGAGUCAAGCGUUUGUAAGAGCAUUGCACUCACACCUGCUAAAGGUCAAGCCACAGGAUGUUGCUGUAGACCUGGAUAACAAUGGACUGAAGUCAAGUUAGCAGGUCUAAUCUGUGCCAAGUCCCAAAUUUGAAAAGAGGGAAGGUUUCUUGGAAUCUAGGUCUUCAGUUGGGCCAGGUUGGGUCCAAAAACAAUGAUCACUGAGUACUAAGAAAGCCAAAGGCAGCAGAACAUAGAGGAGUAGAAACACCAAGAAAAGGCUCAAAU
ensembl:lncRNA SIRPG-AS1 SIRPG antisense RNA 1